rnacentral:rRNA from 1 species
GCAGGUGAUCGCCGUUUGAAAGACGGUUUUCCUCUUCGGAGGCACCUGCACAGGUGCUGCAUGGCUGUCGUCAGCUCGUGUCGUGAGAUGUUGGGUUAAGUCCCGCAACGAGCGCAACCCUUUAUCCCCAGUUGCCAUCAGGUAAAGCUGGGAACUCUGGGGAGACUGCCGGUGAUAAACCGAGAAGGCGGGGAUGACGUCAAGUCCUCAUGGCCCUUACAUCCCGGGCUACACACGUGCUACAAUGGCAGGUACAGAGGGCUGCGAAGCCGCGAGGUGGAGCGAAUCCCAGAAAACCUGUCUCAGUCCGGAUUGAAGUCUGCAACUCGACUUCAUGAAGGCGGAAUCGCUAGUAACCGCGAAUCAGCAGGUCGCGGUGAAUACGUUCCCGGGCCUU